rnacentral:misc_RNA from 1 species
AAAUGCGAUAAGUAGUGUGCAUUGCAGAAUUCAGUGAAUCAUCGAAUCUUUGAACGCACAUUGCGCCCUUUGGUAUUCCUUAGGGCAUGCCUGUUCGAGCGUCAUCUAAACCUUCAAGCCCUGCUUGGUGUUGGGUGCCUGUCCCGCCUCCGCGCGCGGACUCACCUCAAAUCCAUUGGCGGCCCCCGCGUCGGCCACGAGCGCAGCAGAAACGCGAACUCGUGAGCCCGUCCGGGCGGCUCCCAGAAGCUACACCCACCCAGUUUGACCUCGGAUCAGGUAGGGAUACCCGCUGAACUUAAGC